UGUAAUCAGCAGACGCUCGAGGUCACAGUCCCUUCUGCAUGCCAUGUUUCUGUGCUUCCCCUCCGUCUCUCUCUGAAGCGACUCCUCAAAGUCUCUCUGGGCUGGACUCUGGAACAUAGUAGACUUUGUAGCCAUAAACUUGUUAUGCUGAAAGCUGGAUGAGUCAACAGCCGGGCUGAGCGAGCGACUUGUGUGUUGUAGAUCUCUUUGACUCGACGGUAGCGGAAGGCAAGUUUCCUCAUCCAGUCGACCCCGCCGUGAACACCUGAGCCCAGGCAGAGCGUGCCUCCACCUGCUGGACUCUGGAAGCCAUCCGUGCCAAAGUUAUACGUGCUGCAAGUCGUUGAAAAACAGACGUGAAUCGGCCAAGUUGAAGAUCAUCUCCUCCAUCCACAAGCCUAGAGACACAGCCUUGCCAGAGUCCUGGAUCAAAACACAGAAAACACAUCAAUACAGGAAACCUCAUCAGGCUUUGGGAUGCCAAGCGGGUGAGUAAAUGAUGAGGACUAGUAAAUAAUCCUGUCCCUUUAAAACUGAAAACGUGCCUGGUGCCACUUCACCUCUGACCUUGACUGAGAGCGGUCAAUUUCACACUGCUAAGCCAAAAUCAGGACUGCGGGCAGAAGAGGAUCCGACGCUCAGAUCCCGUCUGAGACUCACUCCCACACUAACACGCUCCACCAGAGGCCGGCGUGUAGCAGAGAGAGGUUCUGACCUCCUGAGAGAGCGAGAGAGACGCCUGACGCCAGGAGCCAGACCGCGCAUAAUGGGGAACAGGGCUCCUCCAUCUGUCGGACGGAGCAGAGAGACGCUCGAUGUGAGCAACAUCACAAGAGCAGCUGCUGUCAGGAGCAAAGAUGGAAAGGAAGGGCAGCAAAAGAAAGAGUGGUUCUCCAGGUCAGAGAUGCAGCGAUGGCUUUCUCACACCUGCUGAGGCACCACUCCUCACAAAACCUUUCCCAAGAAAAGAAACGUGAACGGAGACGGCAAGCACAGGCCGCCCAGCAGAGUCCUGACUUCCUCCCAGAGUUCCUGUGAUGCGCAGUGUGUUUCCUGGUAUGAGCAAGAGGGCAUGGGAAAGAACGCUCUGCCCCCUUCCACAACGGUAAACUGAGCUAAAACAAACCCGGGAUGGGGCACGGCCGGGACAGAGCGCUUCACCUGGCCUCACGCUGUUCUGCUAGCAUCGGCGUCUUUCACGGCUAUCAUAUUCCACACAAUGUCUUACAUCAUACAUCAGCGAAUGUUGUCAAAUCUAUAUCUCUUUUUACCCAGCAUGAAUGUAGUAAUGAAGCUAAACCAGUUGGGGAACAACUGAUCACAUGACGAAGCCUUCAACAGUUGCUUCCCACUUUUUCAGUGGCAUUGGUUCCGGAAGUUUAUUUUUUAUUUAUUUUUUUUAUUGUGAUUUUUAAAAAGUAUAAGCCAUGAACUA